UACGUAGGGCGCAAGCGUUGUCCGGAAUUAUUGGGCGUAAAGAGCUCGUAGGCGGCCUGUUACGUCUGCUGUGAAAUCCCGGGGCUUAACCCCGGGCGUGCAGUGGAUACGGGCAGGCUGGAGGCAGGCAGGGGAGAACGGAAUUCCCGGUGUAGCGGUGAAAUGCGCAGAGUAUCGGGAGGAACGACCGGUGGCGAAGGCGGUUCUCUGGGCCUGUAC
rnacentral:rRNA from 1 species